rnacentral:snoRNA from 10 species
UCCAGCAGUAGUCAGCCAUCCGGACAGAACCGUUCCUGUGAUGGUGUUACACUGCUGGGAGAGGAAUGUCUUGUCUUCAUCCGGUUGCCUGCGCCACUGUUCUGGUGGCGUCUGGCACUGGUGCAAGACAGAGCUGUGCUUCCCCGAGAGUGUGCUAAGCAUUCACUUUGGCUGCUUAGUUCUAGUCUGGGAGCAGACAGA